rfam:Microgenomates (Woesebacteria) bacterium GW2011_GWB1_38_8 TT08_C0029, whole genome shotgun sequence.
GCCCUCGUCGUUCAACGGAUAGGACACAGGUUUCCUAAACCUGUAAUCGAGGUUCGAUUCCUCGCGAGGGCA